CACAGCUUGUCGGGGUGCUAAUAGUCGUUUAUUCGAUUGUCUUAGCUGAGAAUUUACCCGUUGAACCUGUUGGGUUAAUACCUGCGGAGGGAACAAGAUCGGCGCAUCA
rnacentral:ncRNA from 1 species